CCAUUGGAAGGGAAAUUAUGGUGCCAGCAAGCCCCGGUAUUCCCAGCUCCCAAUGGGGAUAUUAAAGUUGUUGCGGUUAAAAAGCUGGUAGUUGAACUUGGGGUGGGGCGGCCCGGUCCCGCCCCCGAGUUGGUACUGGUCGGACGGACCCUUCCUUUUAGGAUAUCAUAAUUGUCUUUCAUUGGAUGGGUAUGAAACCCUAAUCUUUUUUGUAAAAAAAAAAAAGUUUUAAAAAAGCACGCAUAUCCUUUAAAUAAUCCAGCAUAAUAAUAUAUUAAAGACUUUUUCUUUUUUGUUGGUUAGAAGAUCAAGGUAAUGAUUAAUAGGGACAGUUGGGGGCAUUUGUAUUUAACAGUCAGAGGUGAAAUUCUUAGAUUUGUUAAAGACAAACUAAUGCGAAAGCAUUUGCCAAGGAUGUUUUCAUUAAUCAAGAACGAAAGUUAGGGGAUCGAAGACGAUCAGAUACCGUCGUAGUCUUAACCAGAAACUAUGCCAGGUAGAGACGAAGGAA
rnacentral:rRNA from 1 species